UACGGAGGGUGCAAGCGUUAUCCGGAUUCACUGGGUUUAAAGGGUGCGUAGGUGGGUCUGUAAGUCAGUGGUGAAAGCCCCGGGCUCAACCUGGGAACCGCGCUUGAGACUGGCAUGCUCGAGUUCGGGAGAGGAUGGUGGAAUUCCCAGUGUAGAGGUGAAAUUCGUAGAUAUUGGGAAGAACACCGAUGGCGAAGGCAGCCAUCUGGACCGACACUGACGCUGAGGCGCGAAAGCGUGGGGAGCAAACAGG
rnacentral:rRNA from 1 species